AGCGCCGGUAAGGUGAUAUGAACCGUUAUAACCGGCGAUACCCGAAUGGGGAAACCCAGUGUGACUCGUCACACUAUCAUUAACUGAAUCCAUAGGUUAAUGAGGCGAACCGGGGGAACUGAAACAUCUAAGUACCCCGAGGAAAAGAAAUCAACCGAGAUUCCCCCAGUAGCGGCGAGCGAACGGGGAGGAGCCCAGAGCCUGAAUCAGCAUGUGUGUUAGUGGAAGCGUCUGGAAAGGCGCGCGAUACAGGGUGACAGCCCCGUACACAAAAGCGCAUGUGCUGUGAGCUCGAUGAGUAGGGCGGGACACGUGGUAUCCUGUCUGAAUAUGGGGGGACCAUCCUCCAAGGCUAAAUACUCCUGACUGACCGAUAGUGAACCAGUACCGUGAGGGAAAGGCGAAAAGAACCCCGGCGAGGGGAGUGAAAAAGAACCUGAAACCGUGUACGUACAAGCAGUGGGAGCCCCACCACCAAAGCAUUUGCUGUACCGCGUUGACGGAGCGAAGCGACGUCAAACCGAUAAAACAGCAGUGUAAAGUGAGCCGCAGGGCGCUUUGCGCGACAGCGCAAAGGCAGGCGGUUUCGCGUAGCGAAAGCGAAUGCUUUGGGGUGGGGUGACUGCGUACCUUUUGUAUAAUGGGUCAGCGACUUAUAUUCUGUAGCAAGGUUAACCGAAUAGGGGAGCCGGAGGGAAACCGAGUCUUAAUUGGGCGUUAAGUUGCAGGGUAUAGACCCGAAACCCGGUGAUCUAGCCAUGGGCAGGUUGAAGGUUGGGUAACACUAACUGGAGGACCGAACCGACUAAUGUUGAAAAAUUAGCGGAUGACCUGUGGCUGGGGGUGAAAGGCCAAUCAAACCGGGAGAUAGCUGGUUCUCCCCGAAAGCUAUUUAGGUAGCGCCUCGUGAAUUCAUCUCCGGGGGUAGAGCACUGUUUCGGCUAGGGGGCCAUCCCGGCUUACCAACCCGAUGCAAACUGCGAAUACCGGAGAAUGUUAUCACGGGAGACACACGGCGGGUGCUAACGUCCGUCGUGAAGAGGGAAACAACCCAGACCGCCAGCUAAGGUCCCAAAGUCAUGGUUAAGUGGGAAACGAUGUGGGAAGGCCCAGACAGCCAGGAUGUUGGCUUAGAAGCAGCCAUCAUUUAAAGAAAGCGUAAUAGCUCACUGGUCGAGUCGGCCUGCGCGGAAGAUGUAACGGGGCUAAACCAUGCACCGAAGCUGCGGCAGCGACACUGUGUGUUGUUGGGUAGGGGAGCGUUCUGUAAGCCUGUGAAGGUGUGUCGUGAGGCAUGCUGGAGGUAUCAGAAGUGCGAAUGCUGACAUAAGUAACGAUAAAGCGGGUGAAAAGCCCGCUCGCCGGAAGACCAAGGGUUCCUGUCCAACGUUAAUCGGGGCAGGGUGAGUCGACCCCUAAGGCGAGGCCGAAAGGCGUAGUCGAUGGGAAACGGGUUAAUAUUCCCGUACUUGGUGUUACUGCGAAGGGGGGACGGAGAAGGCUAUGUUGGCCGGG
rnacentral:rRNA from 1 species